GACGAACGCUGGCGGCAUGCCUAACACAUGCAAGUCGAACGAGACCUUCGGGUCUAGUGGCGCACGGGUGCGUAAGGCGUGGGAAGCUGCACUUAGGUUCGGAAUAACUCCCCGAAAGGGGUGCUAAUACCGGAUAAGGUCUUCGGACCAAAGAUUUAUCGCCUUUGGAUGGGCCCGCGUUGGAUUAGCUAGUUGGUAGGGUAAUAGCCUACCAAGGGGAGGAUCCAUAGCUGGUCUGAGAGGAGGAUCAGCUACGCUGGGAAUGAGACACGGCCCAGACUCCUACGGGAGGCAGCAGUGGGGAAUAUUGGACAAUGGGGGAAGGCCUGAUCCAGCAAUGCCGCGUGAGUGAUGAAUGCCUUAGGGUUGUAAAGCUCUUUUACCCGGGAUGAUAAUGACGGUACCGGGUGAAUAAGCACCGGCUAACUCCGUG
rnacentral:rRNA from 1 species